AUUGAACGCUGGCGGAAUGCUUUACACAUGCAAGUCGAGCGGCAGCGCGGGGCAACCUGGCGGCGAGCGGCGAACGGGUGAGUAAUGCAUCGGAACGUACCCAGUCGUGGGGGAUAACUGUCCGAAAGGACAGCUAAUACCGCAUACGUCCUGAGGGAGAAAGCGGGGGAUCGCAAGACCUCGCGCGAUUGGAGCGGCCGAUGCCGGAUUAGCUAGUUGGUAGGGUAAAGGCCUACCAAGGCGACGAUCCGUAGCUGGUCUGAGAGGACGACCAGCCACACUGGAACUGAGACACGGUCCAGACUCCUACGGGAGGCAGCAGUGGGGAAUUUUGGACAAUGGGGGCAACCCUGAUCCAGCCAUUCCGCGUGAGUGAAGAAGGCCUCGG
rnacentral:rRNA from 1 species